UCCUGCCUUUCUCUCAAUUCCAAAAACACUUGCCGAUCCAACCAACCGCUCCUUUACUUUUCAUUUAAUAAACCAGGAAACAGGUAGCUAGUCUCUCAUGUGCCGCGAAUAGUUGGUUGUCUUGUCAACAUCUGUGUCCCAUUUUUCCAAUUAGGUCUUAAGCCCCUGGAGGUUAGAAUAGCUACUUGUGUCACCCGCAAUGCUCCGCGUGAAUGACAGUUUGUUCACUGAGGGUUACUAAAUGCUUGCCUGAUUACCUAAAAUACUUUACACGAGGAGGCAUUAGGGAUUCAUUCAUUCAACCAGUAGUUAUUGAGGCCCAGCCUGCACCGGGCACUGUGUAAAACCAGAUCUGCAAGGUUUCUUUCUCCAAGGGGUCUGUGGUUAGUACAAGAGACAGUUACUGUGCGCUUACAUCUUUGCCUUGGUGAGAAGCACGGAAUGGAGGGUUUAGCUUUGCUUCAGGGAGAGGCAUCAGGGAGGGCCUGCGGAGGGACAUCAGGCUGCAAGGGGGACCAUGGGAACGGGGGGAGGCAGGCAGGGAGGGAAAGUGGCAGGUGGAGAAGAGGCCCUGCUGAUGGCUGCAGCCGCGUCGGCGCCCGGGGCAGUGGUGAAGGGGCACAGUCUGUUCACCCUCUUGCUCUGCCCUUUAAAAAGGGCCAUCAGCGCAGACGAGGGCACACGAUUCCACCUACGGCAGCCCGGACGCUGCCAACAAACAGCAGGAAUCCUGGUGUUCCAAAAUAUUCAUAGGCAUAGACCCUUCGGCGUCAACAGAGAAUACGAACAUCGAACACAGAAGAACAAGUCCAGGGUGCCAACACCAGAUUACAGCGUUAGAGUUGGAAGAUAGAGGACUUCGGUUUAGGAAACCAAAUACAUUUACUGCUGGGAAACUGAAACCCGACCUUGAACGGCCUUAGAGGAGUGUGUCACAAACUUGUUUGGCUGGGCAGCUUUGUUUGCGUGAAAUCCUGUGAAGUAUAAACACGGGGAACAAAAAGCUUCCUGCCUGGCCCCGAGGAGGGCUGAGGGUGAGGCCUGAGCUUGGUUUUCUCUUCUUCACAAACCGCCAGGGCUCUGGGACUUCAGCGAAACAUCGCCAGCUCGGGGUAAACAGAGGUGGCCCAGUGCGAGGGUAGGAUGCUUCCCGCCAAGCUUUCCUGACUCUCGGGUCUUAUUCAAGACAAUGAGAAAGAGCAACCACUUCUUUUUCCUGCCCUCUUUUUUCUUUAAUUGAAAGGGAAGACUAACUUUCUUCACAUUUAAAUGGAUUGUCCUCGUGGGUGAAAGAAACUCUACAUGCAUUGACCCAGGCGCUUGUGUGUUUGUUAUAAAAAAGGUCUUAUAAGUCACGUCGAAGAAUCCUUGUUACCAAAGAAAAACUCAUAUUGGAAAUGACACUGGCCUCCCCUACAACGCAAACACCCUUGUUUCUGGAAAAAGUCGUACUGAGCCCUGCUCACGGCUGUCAGUGGAAAAGUCCUGCACUCUGCUUCUGCGGCCCUGGGUGCUGUCGUCCGUUUUGAGCUCUUCGCAGCCCAAAGGUGGGACACAGGCAAGCAGAUGGUGAGCCCUUUUUAGGCCCCUUGCACUGGUCAUUCAAUGCCCAGGUUCCAGCCUCCAUUCUCUCCCUUUCUGACUAGGAGGUCCCUUCCCUUCCCCUCCCAGUUCUGCUCUUUGCUGAGCCAGGCAUCUGCUGGGCUUAAGGGAAGCCAGGAGCCAGUGAGGCCUCGGACUAUGUGGGAGAGAGUCUCUCCCGCCACAGACUGGCGGAGUGCCUAGAAAUCCGCACCCUGAAAAAUGUGACUCUGGAGGACAGACAUGCCUUCUGUCAACCGAGGGCUCAGAAUUGUAAAGCUCUGCAGAGCCAUAUUUUCUGGAACACUUCUACAGGGUCACUUAUUUACGCAGAGCAAAUCAAUUUUGUGGAUCUAUCAAGUAUCAAUUCCAGAUAAUGAAACUGAGUUAAGAGGCUUUUCUCUGAGAUUUUUGUCAUUAAUAACAGCAUCUGGCACACAGUGUGCUGAUAAUGAAUUUAAUCGAGUGCACUGGAAUAAGUAUGGAAAGCACUUGGCAAACAGAUAAUGUUGAAUUUCUGGAGCAAGUACAGACUUGUUACAUACAUAUGUAAGCUGUGUAUUUCUUUGAAUGUAAAAUUAUUCUUCCCCAUAAAGGUGAUUCAUCCAGUGUAUAACUAAAUGUGAUUUACUGCUUAUAGUUAUGUAAGAUUUGCAUAUUAAUAAACUCACAAGUCAGGAAGAAUCACCUUGGUAGAUCUGUGUGGCAGACAUGGAGGUGAGGUGCCCAGAUCCCCUUUCAAGAAAGGGCGUGCCGCCCAGCUUCAGGAGUGUGGUCAGCAUGUGGUCCCCAGCUGCCAGCUCCUUUGGGGUCUGCCUUGGGGCAGAAAGCCUCCUUUCCCUCAAGGUCACGCCCUUCCUGGAGCAGCCCCAUUGGUGACAGUGAUAUGGGGAACACACACCCUACAUUCCAGCCUGGGUGGGACAACUCGGUGGGGUGAUGCUCGCUCCAGGGCCCCCGCUGGCUUCCUGAUGUUUCAAGGGCCUGUGUCGCAGUUGGACUUCUCCCUCUGCCCAAUCCUGCUUCCUCACCCUUCCCUUCUCAGGUCUCGAUCCCCAAGAAACAACCUGCUCCCCAAACUCUGUCUCAGCAUCUGCUCCCGGAAAACUCAACCUGUGAUACUACGUGCGCUGGUAGUGUGAAGAAUACGGCCAAUUUACAUCAUUGAAAAUAUCAAGUGCAGAGGAUUUGAAGAUUUUUCCUUAAAAGAAAGGACACUGAUUUCCCAGCCCUCCUGUCCCAACCCUCUUUUGGCCUCUCCCAUUUCUAAAGCCUGAGUGCGUGCCAGUGUCUGCAGGUUCAAGAUUCUGAAGGGAAAUCAAGUCCCUCCCUGCCACCACACACUCAGCUCUGGCCCUGCGCUCCUGCAGGGUGGCACAAACUGCUCCAUCCUAAACUUUGGGUCCAGGAGAAGCAGGACAUCCUCGGCCCCAUGGGCACUUUGAGUUGAAAGGAGAAGAGCAGCCAAGUGUCGCUCCUGCCACCUGUUAUUUCUCUUCUGACAAACUUGUACUGAGCCCAUGAUCGAGCAGCAGUAAUGGUCAGUUUCUACGAGUGACAAGCAUUAGCGGUUCUGCCCAGAGUUGAUAAGGAUCACAUGCUUUUAUCAUUGAAAGGGCGCUUGACCAUUUACUGAGUCCAUCGGUUAAAAAGAUUGUAUCUUACACUUUUAGCACAACUAUUGCUGUAAUAACAUUUAAAAGUAGACAGAAAAUAACAGCUAUUUAUCUAAAUUAGUAAUACAGAUUAAGUUUGUAAUAUAAUAGACACUGUAAAUUGUCAACUUUUAAAGACAUUAGAAUAUUAAUCCUAUGUUUGAAAGCUGCUAUCCUUUAAAAUGUACUAUUUUUGUAAAUACUUCCUCCCCAACCUCAACUCUUCAGGUUAAUUAAAUACUACUGAAAAGAUCAGACUUAUUUUGUAAAAAUUCAAUUUCUGUGUUAUCGGAGGCCUUGCCCACACGCUCUAUAAAGUAUAAUGCUUCUAAAAUUAA